rnacentral:rRNA from 1 species
UACGUAGGGGGCUAGCGUUGUCCGGAAUCAUUGGGCGUAAAGCGCGUGUAGGCGGCCCGGUAAGUCCGCUGUGAAAGUCGGGGGCUCAACCCUCGGAUGCCGGUGGAUACUGUCGGGCUUGAGUGCGGAAGAGGCGAGUGGGAUUCCUGGUGUAGCGGUGAAAUGCGCAGAUAUCAGGAGGAACACCAAUUGCGAAGGCAGCUCGCUGGGACGUCACUGACGCUGAGACGCGAAAGCGUGGGGAGCAAACAGG